GAAGAUAUAAUGCUAGAAAAAGAAGAAGAAGGAAUCACGCUUCUUCUACAUGAGAUCACGCUUAACAAGAUAUAUAAUUCUCUACGCCUUUGGAGGAGAGCUCGUGAUCUAGGGAAUCUCUCUCACGAACAAAACCAGAAAAGAAACCAUUAAAUAUUCUCUUCAUAAGAGUCAAGACCACCGCUUGAUGGAAAGGUGGAAAGGAGAACUCGCUAAGCUCGAGCUAAACCGUAGAUGACGUCUCCACUUUUCAAAGAGAGAAGUUAUUCCUUUAUGUUUAACUUGUCCCGAACAACAACAUCGAGCCGGAGACAUGCUAUUCUUCCCGAUCACAUUCGCUUCUGUGUUUGAUCAAGAACAAUGGCUCUUCACACGAAACCUUAUCUUGCAAGAUCGUCAUUAGCCGAUAUGAGGACCCUAACUCCUUAUUCUUAUCCAUAAUCGAUGUAUAUCCCGAAAUGAUAAUAAACGAAACCUAACAAAGAAACCCGACGUCUCUUUCGAGAGAUGAUAAUAACCGAACUACGUUUAGACUUGAUCUCUCGUCGAGGGUACGUAGGCAGCUCGAUCCCGAGUUCAGUCACGAUCUUCCUUCUCCCGAUAUCUUUAUGCUAUUCAGCAUACGAAUUGAGUCCAUUUUUGUCAACUCAUACAUGAUUACAUCAUUGUGUUCUGAGGAUAUUGUUGCCCAUAUCAUUUUUCUUUCCUAGUUUUAUAUCUCAAAUACUUAGUGUAGAUUUUAGGAUCUACAUUUUGGCGCCGACUGUGGGGAAAAGAAACGAUAACAUCCUUACUAGGAACCCGAUCCAAGGCUUCUAAGCACGAAAAUGGAUCAAUCUCAUAUGGAGUACGAUACUGCACCAAACUAGCCAUCAUCCACCACAAUGACAUUUGAUAUUGCUAGGUCAGCAACAAGAAACAAAACAUGAGAUUCGAUUCCGGCGUCAGCCAAAUCAAAUCUCAGAAACCGAUAAAAGGAAUUUUCUUCAUCAACGCCCUCAAACUAUAGCGGACCGAUGAUGAGCUAUGAUAACCCGACCUCCCUGAGUUUAGAUCGCAAAUCCAAUAAGUGGUCGAUAUUGUCUCAGGCAACUUAAAUGAUCGUAGUCAAG
rnacentral:lncRNA from 1 species